UACGUAGGGUGCAAGCGUUAAUCGGAAUUACUGGGCGUAAAGCGUGCGCAGGCGGUUUUGUAAGUCUGUCGUGAAAUCCCCGGGCUCAACCUGGGAAUGGCGAUGGAGACUGCAAGGCUGGAAUCUGGCAGAGGGGGGUAGAAUUCCACGUGUAGCAGUGAAAUGCGUAGAUAUGUGGAGGAACACCGAUGGCGAAGGCAGCCCCCUGGGCUAAGAUUGACGCUCAUGCACGAAAGCGUGGGGAGCAAACAGG
rnacentral:rRNA from 1 species